rnacentral:rRNA from 1 species
CCUACGUGUGGCAGCAGUGAGGAAUAUUGGUCAAUGGACGCAAGUCUGAACCAGCCAUGCCGCGUGCAGGAAGACGGCCCUAUGAGUUGUAAACUGCUUUUGUACGAGGGUAAACGGAGAUACGCGUAUCUGUCUGAAAGUACCGUACGAAUAAGGAUCGGCUAACUCCGUGCCAGCAGCAGCGGUAAUACGGAGGAUGCAAGCGUUAUCCGGAUUUAUUGGGUUGAAAGGGGGCGUAGGCGGUCGGAUAAGUUAGAGGUGAAAGCACGAGGCUCAACUUCGGAAUUGCCUCUGAUACUGGUCGGCUAGCGCGUAGUUGCGGUAGGCGGAAUGUAUGGUGUAGCGGUGAAAUGCUU